rnacentral:lncRNA from 1 species
CUCCAACAUGAUUAAAUCACCUUCCACCAGCCCCCACCUUUAACAUUUCCCAUUAAAAUUCCGCAUGAGUUUUGGUAGAGACACAGAGUCAAAACAUAUUAUUCUAUCCCUGGUCCCCCAAAUCUCAUGUAUUUUUCAUAUUGCAAAAUGCAACGAUGCCUUCCCUAGAAUCCCCCAAGUCUUAACUCAUUCCAGCAUUUACUCAAAUAUCCAAAGCCCACAGUCUCUUCUUAGACAAGGCUGCAGUCUCUUCUGCCCUGAGACUCUGAAAUACACAGCAAAUUAACUACUUCCAAGGUACAAUGAUUGUACAGGCAUUGGUGAAGCAUUCCCAGCCAAAAAGAAGAAAUUUGCCAGAAAGAAGCACAAAACACAGAUGGGACUUAUAAACCCCCUGCAAGUCAAAAGCCCAGCAGGCCAGUCAUCCAUCCUACACAACCAAAUCAUCUUUUUGGAAUCUAUGUCCACAUCCAGAGCACAGGGUGAUAUGACAGCUGGGAUCCCAAGGCCUUGGGCAGCUCUGCACCUGUGGCAUUGCAGAAUCUUUCCCCUACAGCUGCCCUCAUUGACUAGGCUGGUGUUGAGUACCUGUAGCUUUUCAACACUAAGGGUGCAAGCAGCUGGUGGGUCUAUGAAACUGGGGAAUGGAAAAUGGUGCCUCCCUGUAUGGGGACUCCAACCCUAUACUCUGCUUGUGUACUGCCUGAGUAUAGAUUUACCAUGAGGCUCUGCCUCUUGAAAAAGCUUCUGGCUGGACAAUCAGCCUUCUGAUACAUCCUCUGGAGUCUAGAUGAAGGCUCGGAAGCUUCUAGUCCUUGCUUUAUGCACCUGCUGGCUUAACACCAUGUGGAAGCCACCAAGUCUUCGAGCUUGCAUCCUCUGAAGCAGUGACGCAAGCUGUACCUGUGCAUCUUUCAUCCAUGGCUGGAGCUGGAGAUGGAGCUGCAGGGAUGCAGGCAGCAGUGUCCUGAGGCUGCACACAGCAGUGGAGCCAUGGGGCUGGGCCAGGAAACUAUUCUUUUCUCCUAGGCCCCAGGGCCAGUGACAGCAAGGGCUGCUACAAAGGUCACUGAAAUGCCUUCAAGGCCUUUUUCCCAUUGUCUUGAAUUAUUAGCACUGGGAUCCUUUUUAUGCAAAUAUCUGAAGCCUUCUUGACUUUCCCCCUGAAAAUCAGCUUUUCUUUUUGACCACUUGUGCAGAUUACAAAUUUUCCAUAUGUUUAAACUCUGCUUCUCUUUUAAAUAUAAGUUCCAACUUAUGGUCAUUUCUUUGAUCACACAUAGGUGCACAGGCUGUUCAAUGUAGGCAGGAAAACUCUUGAGCAUUGUUGCUUAGAAGUUCAUUCCACCAGAUACACUCUAAAUCAUCACCCUCAAGUUCAGUUUCACAGAUCUCCCGGGAAGGGUCACUGUGUAGUCAAUUACUUUGCUAAGGCAAAACAAAAAAACCUUGGCUCCUCUUCCCAGUAAGUCCUUCAUUUUCACCUGAGAUCUUGUAAACCUGGCCUUCACUGUCCAUCCUUAUGUUAGCCUUUUAAUCACAACUAUUUAACAAGUCUCUGCAAUGGUCAAAACUUUCCCUCAUCUUCCUCUUUUCUUCCAAGCUCUCCAAACUCUCUAACAUCUGGCCAUUAUGUAAUUCAGAACCUGCUUCUACACUGUCAGCUAUCUUUUUUGUAGCCUGGCAAUGUGGUAAAAGAAGAAAAGUCCAUCAUCAGGGGGAAACAUCAAGAAGGCCUCCAAUAUUUGCAUUGAAAAAGCUCAGUGCUAAUAGCCAAGAGAUUGGGGGAAGGCCUAGAAGUCAUUUCAUAGCUUCACUUCGCAGCAUUAAUUUUCUGUAUGUACAUAAAAAAAGAGGUUAGUUAACUCACAGUUCUUCAGGCUAUAAAGAAAGCAUACUGGUUUCUGCUUAUAGUAGGACUCAGGAAGCCUCCCAAUCAUACCAGAAAGCCAAGCGGCAAUGAAAUGUUUCAUAUGGCAGGAGUAGAAGCAAGACAGAGAGAGGAAAGAGGUGCGACAGCCUGUUAUACAACUAGAUCUCAUUAGAGCUCACUAUCAGGAGAUCAGCAUCAAGAAGAUGGUGCUUCAAUGUUGGUAAAGGAUCCGCCCACUAUCCCAUAUCUACCACCCACUGUUUCCAAGCAGAAGCCUGAGGCAGAGGCAGAUCCUCUUGGAAAACCUCUACCAUGGCUGUUUAGAAGAAAACUAUGGGCUUGGAGACCCCAUGUAGGAUACCACCAUCCUCCAGAACCCAGAUUCACAGACCCAUCAACAGCUCACACCCCAUGUAUGGAAAAGCAACAGGCACUCAACACCAGCCCAGCCCAUGAGAGCAGCUACAGGUGCUAAACCCUGCAAAGUCACAGGUGCACUGCCUCAGUAGAGUUUUUCCAUGAGCCUCUGCCUCUGCGGCAUGCUACUCCCCUUCUGCUACACGCCACCCUACAGCCAGCUUACCCUCCCCACCUUACCCACCAGUUUUUAAUUCCAACCCCACCCGUCUCCCAUCCAUGAAUAAAUCACCUCCCACCACGCCCCACCUGCAACAUUCGGGAUUACAAUUACAUGUGAGUUUAGGUAGGGACACACAGCUAAACCAUAUUAUUCUGACCCUGAUCCCCCGAAUAUCACAUCCUUCUCACAGAGUAAAAUACAGUCAUGCCUUUGCAAAAGCUGCUGAAAGUCUUAAGUCAUUUCAGCAUUAAUUCAAAUGUAAAAAGUUCAACAUCUCACGUGAGAAAAGGCUACAGUUCCUUUUGCCUAUAAGUUCCUGAAUUUAAAAGGGAGUUCUUUUCUUUCAAGGUACAAUGAUGGUACAGGCAUUGUGUAAGCUUUCUCAAUCCAAAGGUGAGAUGUUUGCCAGGAAAACAACACAAAUGGGAUCACAGGGCCAAUGCAAGUCCAAAACCCAGGAGGCCAGUAUCCAUUCACUCUCAUGGCUCCAAAAUCAUCACGAGAACUCACCAUCAUGAGGAAAGG